CACGACCAGGUAGGACCUGCCGACGGCCGAUCCAUCAAUCACGCAGCUCAAUCAAUCACGCAGCUCCAUCAUUCACGCAGCUCCUCCAUCAUUCUGGUGAGUUUCUGUAGGAAUAUCGGCGGCGGCGAUCUUAUCGCCGGCGAUCUCGUCCGAGAGCGCGCGCGGCACCGUCGUCAACCUCCAGCGCUCGCAGGAAAUGGCGGACGAUGAGUUAACUGAUAUGAUGUAUGACAUGGAGUUUGGAGAACUGAUGAAAGACUGGAUAGAAGAUUGGUCAGAUGAUGAAAAUUCAGAUCGUGGAGAUAGGUCAGAGAAUGGGAACGUAUUGGAAGAUCUUAAUGAAAACAAUGAGCAUGAUGAUGGUGAGGGAAACAACUCGGAGAUCUCGAAUGAAGAUUACAUUAGUCAGGUAUGGAAGUGGAAUUUUUUGUUGGCAUGCAUGCAAAUUGAAUUAAUCCUGGAAUAUUAUAUGAUAAGUACUUAUGUAUUUGUGUUAUAUUUUUCAGCUCAUUUCCGAAUGUCAUAAUGCGUACGACUAUUACGGUGAAUCCGACGCAGAGACAUGCCUUGAUGUCGAAUCAUUAGCUGCACCUGAUUCUGGGGAGUCGCAAUCGUCGGUCAUCAUGAGUGAGGUAUGUAUGUAAUCAAUGUUGUAUGGAAGUAAUGUUAUACCAUAGAAAACUGUUUUCAUGGCUAUGUUAUGAUUGUGUAGGUGACAGAACUUGAGGGGAAAAAGAAUGUCCAACAUACUGCUAGUGCAGAUGAUAAGAGGGAUAUGUUCAUGCAGAUAAUACAAAUGACUUUUACGUCUCACGAGGCUGCGUAUGAUUUCUACAACAGCUAUGCUAGAGAUAAUGGUUUCAGCAUUAGAAAGAAUAGGGUCAGGUAUAGCAAAACCGAGUCACGUCAUAUGCGUUAUAGGCGGU